rnacentral:rRNA from 1 species
AACGAACGCUGGCGGCAUGCCUAACACAUGCAAGUCGAACGAGAUCUUCGGAUCUAGUGGCGCACGGGUGCGUAACGCGUGGGAAUCUGCCCUUGGGUUCGGAAUAACAGUUAGAAAUGACUGCUAAUACCGGAUGAUGUCUUCGGACCAAAGAUUUAUCGCCCAGGGAUGAGCCCGCGUAGGAUUAGGUAGUUGGUGGGGUAAGAGCCUACCAAGCCGACGAUCCUUAGCUGGUCUGAGAGGAUGAUCAGCCACACUGGGACUGAGACACGGCCCAGACUCCUACGGGAGGCAGCAGUGGGGAAUAUUGGACAAUGGGCGAAAGCCUGAUCCAGCAAUGCCGCGUGAGUGAUGAAGGCCUUAGGGUUGUAAAGCUCUUUUACCCGGGAUGAUAAUGACAGUACCGGGGGAAUAAGCUCCGGCUAACUCCGUGCCAGCCGCCGCAGUAAAAC